UUCCAAAUGUUAAAGUUUGUGUUUAUUAAUAGUUUUACUGUUUCUUAUAGUUGCUUCAGAGCUCUCGAGCCAGUGCCAGUCUCCUUGAGGGACAUGCAGCGCAGACACAGAGAGAAGCAGCUCAUCCAGAGUGGCUUCAGCAGCCUCUUCCUGUCGCUGGAGAUGGAUUACUAGGAGCGGCUCCAGCAGUCAAGACAAUAAUCCCUGCUGCUGCAGGUGUGAUGGUGUCCCAGAGCGCUCCUGUCUACCAGCCUGCUCUACAGACUCUCCAGGCGGCUGGUGUUUGCUCCACAUCGGUGGUAACUCCAGCAUCCUCCACUGUUGAGAGAGCAGCCUGUACUGGACCCACUGUAAGCCCAGCAGCUGUUCCAAACCCGUCUGCUUACCAGUAUGAUGAGUCAUCAGGUUACUACUACGACCCCCAGACUGGUCUGUACUAUGACUCCUCCAGCCAG